ACGCAUUUGGUGUGAACGCCCCAUUAGUUGUCCUUCCUUGAAGUUUAUUUCACACAAAUCUGAUAUCAGAGAAGAUCUUGGUACAGCUUGUAUGCAUGGACACAUUCAUACCAAAAAUGUGUGGCGUGUCUGUUCCGAUGAAACGAAAACGAAAAUGACAGGUCAUUUAAAUAGCAGUUAUCUGGGUCGGGCGGUGUGAGUCGCAGACGCAGCGGAGGCAGAUCCGUCGGGCUGAGGAGGCUCGGUUCUGUGAUGCUAUAGCAAAUGGGCUCGCUUCUCUUGUAAAGCUCCAUUUGUGCGCAAGUAUUCAUGUCAAGUGGAUAGUUUAGAAAUCAUCAGUACUGCCGACCUAAAUUUCAGCAACCAUGGAAAGGCCGACUUUAAUAACUGGUGCUGAUACUGGCCAAAAUGAAAGUGCUAGUGGAGGGAAAGGAGAAGACAAACCACAAAGCUCCAGGAGUACCAGUGCUAAUAGACAGGAGACGGAUGGAGGAGGUGCCGACCCAGGGAAAGGGGGUGAAGGAGGAUGGGAUGGGGGAAGAGGAGGUGAAGGGCUGCGAGGAACAGGAGCGGAGAGAGCAGAAGCAGCAGCAGCAGCAGCAGGCAGAGGAGGAGGAGGAGGAGCAGCAGCA